rnacentral:lncRNA from 13 species
UCUGUAACAUGUUAUAAGCAGCAGCUAAACUUCUCAAUUUCACUGUGAUUUCUUGCCUUUUUGGAAACUGACAAUAAAUUGGCUACCUACCAUUCUUGACCUUUUGACUUCUGAACCACUGCUGACCAAAUCUUAGCUUGCCUUGUUUAACUCAGUAGCUCUAGUAUCUCUCUGAUCCUCUCCCAGAGGGUCUGAAGCUUUCAGCCUCCUGAACGGGUAAGCUCCCCCUCUAGUGUUCACUGCUCAUCAAAUUAUUCCUCCAACAAAUAAGACAGGAACUGCCUGUUUUUUGAUUCCCUAUCGAAGGACGGAGCUUGAUUACUGUUUAAUGACACAAAGAGGAAAAGAUUCCUGAAGUGAUUAAUGAGGUCAUACAUCCUACCAGGAAAGCUAGGUGUUGAAUGAAGGGUCCCCUUCUCACAUUUAGGGAACCUCCUUUAUUAAAUCCGGCAUGUAUCUUUGGAAUAAAGAGGAGAUGACACCAAUUCUUUUGUUGUUGAACUUCAAGGACUCACUUAAAAUAAAGGAAUCUCAUUUUGCCAUUCAGUUACUCAUGUGACAGUGAAGUUCAGGUUACAGGAGAAGAGGAAUCGGCUAGAGUCACACGAAAGUACUUUUGGUUCAUGUGAACUUUACAAAUUAGAUCUUCCAGGCUUUGACUGCGGCUUUCAGAGACCUGUAGCUUUCACUUUCACUGUCUUGGGAUCAAGUCUUCAUGAACAGAAACUGAGGCUUAACUUAUGAAGGUGCACAUGGAGAAAGGGGCUUGAUCUGCCCCCAGCUGUCUGGCCACCAUGGAUGAAGCAUCACAUAUGUGAGUGAAGCUAUCUUGGCUUUUUUUUUCUUUUUCUAACAAUUGAGCUUCCACCUGAUAACAAUGGUGUGAGUGACCCUGAUUUAUACCGCAC